rnacentral:tRNA from 1 species
AGCAAGAUGGCAGAGUUGGUUUAUUGCGUUUGAUUUGAAAUCAAAAGAAUAGAUAAAGUUCCGUGGGUUCGAAUCCCACUCUUGCUU